GUUUAAAUGCCACUGUCUCGCCCAAAGAUGGAAGGAAGAAGCAACCCCAACCAGAGAAGAAUGCCAGGCUAAGGCUAAGGCAAGUUGAUGGACCAAGCCAAAAUGGCUAAUUUAGGAAGCUGAAAAAUUUGGAGAAGUAUUGAUAAGCAGUUAAAAAUAGAAUCAAUAGGAGCCAUGGAAGGGAUGGGGGAGUCAGGAGAUUCAGAGUGAUCUCAAUAAUUACAUUUGGAAUUGUUUUUGUUGUAUGUUUAUAUUUUGGAAAAUCAAAUAAAAAUGUAUUUCAUAUUUUUAAAAAAAUGCCACUGUCUCCAUUCAGGAGCAUGGGAAGGUGCCUUUAUAGCAGGUCAUGCUCUUUGGGUGCCUCCACGAUGUCACCUUUUUGCAGGAGGGAUUCAGACAUAAUGUAGGUGUGUGCUGUCAAAGUAGAGUAAAGCACUCUGUUGCUCUAGCGCAACAAAUCCACUCUUUAAAUAAAAGAAAAUGGGCUUUCUGUGCUUAGGAAGUUGGCAGGGAAAUGCCCUGAGAAAGGUGGUAUAAAUGAAUGUGAGAUGGGAAUACAGCAGGAUGGAUGUAAAUAACUCAGAAUGAAUACUCAAUAAAGAUCAAACAUUGUCAAACCACUGUAUGAGCUUUGUGCAAGUGGAUCAAGGUGAAUGCUGAAUGAACAGGCUGCCUGGAGGAGCCCUUUGUUCAUAUAGCUCUGUACUGUCUACUCUGACCAGCAGUGGCUUGCUAGAGUCUCGGGGGGGGGGGGUAGUUCUCAUUACCUCCUUCCAGAUCUUUUUAACCUCCGACAUUCUGCAUACAAGACAUGGGCUCCAACACUGAUUUAUGGUCCCACCUGAACAGGGUAUUGAUAGAAAGAGCUAAGCAAGACCUUACCCUUUGGGAAACUGCAAUACUGGAGUGGAAAAUGCAAUGCAAAGCAGGUUCAUAUCCACAUGGCUGCCAUCUUGCUUGGAUUCUAAGGCGCUAUGUACCAACACUAAUAUCUAGGGUCACAUCUGCAUCAUUACCUUUCAAGCACUAUUAUACCACUUUAACAGCCAUGGCUUCCCCUAAAGAAUCUAGGGAACGGUAGUUUGCUAAAGGGUGCUCAGAGGUGUUAUGGGACCCCUAUUCCUCUCACAAAACUACAAUCCCCAGAGGGGUUUAACAAUAAAUUUGUUAGCAAUAAACUCUGUUCAAGUGAUAUAAUGGUGCCUGAAAUGUGUGGUGUGAAUGUGGUCUAGGUUUCCUGGCUCUCAGAGGACUCCUGUACCUUUAAGUGUUGCAACAAAGGGAAAAUUUGAUCCAGUGCAGCUUCUCUCACCACGAUGGUAGAAGCCACAUCUGUUAAGAUGUUCUUUUCUGAAAAUGUAGACAAGCCUUCUGUGGUAGCAGAAAUGACCAUAGAGUGAGCAUGUGUACCAUCAUUGUACCCAAAAGGUUGUUUUUUUCCUUCCCACAGAAACCUGUGUAUUGGGACUGAAUUGCAAUAGGAGAGCAGCUGAUUUUUGACUGUGUGUGAACCUGUCCUUAAGAGUCUGGACCUGGCAACAUACCCCGCUGCUGCCGCCACCCCACCCCACCCCCCAGAAGAUUUAAGUUGCCAGCAAGUCAGAGCAAGUAAAUCAUUGCAUCUUGAAUAAAUUACC